GGACAGAUGGCCGAGUGGUUAUGGCGUGUGACUCAAGCUCUAUAGCUUAAUUGAUGUAAAAUCAAUAGCAUUCUCAUCAGGAAACUGGCAGGGGUUCGAAUCCCCUUCUGUUCA